rfam:Tinamus guttatus contig12264, whole genome shotgun sequence.
GGGGAUGUAGCUCAGUGGGAGAGCGCUUGCUUUGCAUGUAAGAGGCCCUGGGUUCAAGCCCCAGCAUCUCCA